rnacentral:lncRNA from 1 species
CCGUGAAGCGAAAAACGUAUAAACUAGUGGCGCGGGGAGUCAUGGAAUAGUUUAUAUUUGACGCUUCGCCCGACGAUAUUACGAGAGACGAAAUGUUUGUGCUGACAAACCAGGAAGACCUGCUGGUUCAUAUUCGCUUUCGCAACAAGAACAAGCCGUUUUGAUGCAAGAAUUGUUAGAACAACCAGAAAAACUUUAUCCGAGCUCUGUAGACAUGAGAAAUCUGUAAUCAUGAAUGUUGUAUUCAAUACAUUUCACUUUCGGUGUUUAUAGCUCAAAAGAAUUCCUUAUCAAAGAUGCGAAGAAGAUCGAAUAAACUAUUGGUCUGUGGUAUCAAAAUUCAAUCCUGCGAUGUUUGUGUUCCUUGACGAGUGUGGAUUUGAUAAACGAAUCUCGAGACGCUUUGGAUACAGUUUUCGAUGCUAUCGAGCUCAAACACGAAGAUGGUAUGGCAAUCCCUGUCAUCUGCACGGAAGGAACAAUACACUUGAGUAUCCGCCGCGGGAAUACUACUGAAGAGAAAUUUCUUGAAUUUGUGAAUGAAAACCUUAUUCCUAAUCUACAGCCGUUUGAUGGGAUUAAUCCUCGCUCUGUGGUUGUAAUGGGUGAGCACUCACGUCACAUCAGAUUUUGUUAGUAUUUUAUCUCAACGCAUUAAAUUAAUGAAGACAAUUGCAUUAUAUUUUUACAGUUUUUAUAGUGAUUGAAUUUGUGCCAUUUGGAAUACAUUUAUGAAAACAAAUUUUUCUCAAUGUAUAUAGAAUCUAAUCUAACCGAACCGAACAAAAACUAUUAUCUUGCAACAUCAACAUCAAAUCUAAAGUGAAAAUAAUCUUUUUGAUAUGCAAAUGCGGAGUUGUUUUGGUUGAAAUGGAACUAUGAGUUUUUGAAAACUUUUAUUAGUAUAUUCACUGUCAAGCUUGGCUUUAGGCUUUCUAUUGCUAUCAUAAUUCAAAGAUCGAUGGGCUUCAUCCAUUGUAAACAUACAGCCGGAAAGAUUUGAUCUAAAAAAUUCGGAUGACGAGAAAUGGUCUCUGAGUCUAGGGAAUUGACUUUGUGCUGAGUUAGCACUUGUUAUUUAUAGAUAAUAGAUCAUUAUUAAUAAUAACAGAAAAUCAUCACAUAAAAUGUUACAUGAAUUNUUGGUUUUUGAAGCCUUAUGAUGCCUGUUGAAAGCAACCAAAAUAUCUCGAGAUUUUACGACGAAAAAACAUAGAAAUGGCCACAACUACUAACUGAUUAGUUGGGACAAUGAAACAACGCGGUUGCAUACGUGACGAGAAUAUAUUUCCUUAUUUUAAUUAUUAUUAAGUUAUAAUUAAAAUGAUAUUAAUUAAUUUUACCUUAAAGAGCCAGCACCAAAACUAAUACUGAGAAGAUGAAAAUGUCUAAGGUUAACAUUUUCAAUAACGGAUAAAUAUAUCAUAGUUAUUUAUUUCAUUAAAGCUAGCUCAUUAGUAUUUUUGUACGUACUAAACGACGUACAGUGUCAUGCAAGCAGCACAUCGAUUUUGCUGAAAUAGCACUGUUAACUACGAUUUAAUAUUCAAUCAGCAUAGAAUAUCGUUUGCCUCCUUGAAGUCAGUACGGGAAACCCCUAUAUUUUCAGCGUUGACGUUUACAUAAUAAAAUAUUCACACGAAACUUUA